rnacentral:rRNA from 1 species
CCAAUAGCGUAUAUUAAAGUUGUUGCAGUUAAAAAGCUCGUAGUUGAAUUUCGGGAUCGACGGGUCGGUCGCGCCUCUGGUGUGUACUGGCCCUGUCGGUUUCUCCCUUCUGACGAACCACGAUGUCAUUAAUUUGGGGUCGUGGGAAAUCAGGACUGUUACUUUGAAAAAAUUAGAGUGUUUAAAGCAGGCAUUCGCUUGAAUACAUUAGCAUGAAAUAAUGAAAUAGGACGUUUGAUCUUAUUUUGUUGGUUUCUAAGAUCGACGUAAUGAUUAAUAGGGAUAGUUGGGGGCAUUAGUAUUCAAUUGUCAGAGGUGAAAUUCUUGGAUUUAUUGAAGACUAACUACUGCGAAAGCAUUUGCCAAGGAUGUUUUCAUUAAUCAAGAACGAAAGUUAGGGGAUCGAAGACGAUCAGAUACCGUCGUAGUCUUAACCAUAAACUAUGCCGACUAGGGAUCGGAUGAUGUUAAUUUUUUAAUGACUCAUUCGGCGCCUUACG